UACGUAGGAGGCAAGCGUUGUCCGGAAUUAUUGGGCGUAAAGCGCGCGCAGGCGGUCCUUUAAGUCUGAUGUGAAAGCCCACGGCUCAACCGUGGAGGGUCAUUGGAAACUGGGGGACUUGAGUACAGAAGAGAAGAGUGGAAUUCCACGUGUAGCGGUGAAAUGCGUAGAGAUGUGGAGGAACACCAGGGGCGAAGGCGACUCGUUGGUCUGUAACUGACGCUGAGGCGCGAAAGCGUGGGGAGCAAACAGG
rnacentral:rRNA from 1 species